UGACCCUACCAGGGGCAUGAAGCCCCCGACAUCAUAGCUACUAGGAUCAUUGGGACAGUCAAASCCCUCCACUACGAUAGGGUGGCAGCCCACGGAGAGGACAUUAAUAAAUAAAUUAAUGACAUAUUGUUAUGACUCAUGUCCUGUCCAUGCUGUGUUAAGCACUCAUUSAGCUCACCUGCCACGCCUGAUUGCUUACCUGUUCCACCUGGGCCUCGCCCUACUUAAACACCCCUCAGCCUCUGCUUCCUUGCCAGAUUAUCGACAGCCACAAGCCAGUAGAGAUCCAGUGUUUCCCUCCAAGCCUUCAGUGUUUCUAUGACCCCUUUCUGUCCACGGAUUUUCCCCUCCUGCCAAGCCCUUCACGGAUCCCUUCUAUUCUGGAUUUCUGGACCCUGACCCAAGCUCUGCCUCACGACCACCGAUUAUCGCCUGCCCCUCAAAGCUAAGUUUGCUCUCUGUCCUUCUCUGUAUGACCUCUGUCUUAUUAUCGACCAAGUCCCUGGGUGUUGUGGUUUGGAUCUCCCCGUGAAGAUCUUCAUUGCUUCCACAGAAGCCUGUUCCACUGGUUUCCUGCAUCUCCCUGUCGUCAGACCCUCUGCUCCACCCGUCCACUGCUCUACAGGUUUUGUUGGCUCUAGUGGCCUUUAUUUGGGGGUGGUUUUGGCGGGGGGCAUGCGGCGGGUGUCGGCAGGCCACCCUCGACCACCGGCAGUACAUGGGUUGUGCUUUGCCCCUACACCACCACAGCACCCCUUCUUCCAUCUGCUUUGGUCUCUUCUGCAACCUUUAAAAGUGCUCAGACCCCCGGGGAAUCUCUUGGCCUGAACACCCUGCAGAGGAAGAGACGGAGGUCACCAUCAGUUCCAGCUGAGAUGCCACUGCAUAAAAAC